CCAGUGUGUUUCGACACACUAUCAUUAACUGAAUCCAUAGGUUAAUGAGGCGAACCGGGGGAACUGAAACAUCUAAGUACCCCGAGGAAAAGAAAUCAACCGAGAUUCCCCCAGUAGCGGCGAGCGAACGGGGAGGAGCCCAGAGCCUGAAUCAGUGUGUGUGUUAGUGGAAGCGUCUGGAAAGGCGCGCGAUACAGGGUGACAGCCCCGUACACAAAAAUGCACAUAUUGUGAGCUCGAUGAGUAGGGCGGGACACGUGGUAUCCUGUCUGAAUAUGGGGGGACCAUCCUCCAAGGCUAAAUACUCCUGACUGACCGAUAGUGAACCAGUACCGUGAGGGAAAGGCGAAAAGAACCCCGGCGAGGGGAGUGAAAAAGAACCUGAAACCGUGUACGUACAAGCAGUGGGAGCCUCUUAAUGGGGUGACUGCGUACCUUUUGUAUAAUGGGUCAGCGACUUAUAUUCUGUAGCAAGGUUAACCGAAUAGGGGAGCCGAAGGGAAACCGAGUCUUAACUGGGCGUUAAGUUGCAGGGUAUAGACCCGAAACCCGGUGAUCUAGCCAUGGGCAGGUUGAAGGUUGGGUAACACUAACUGGAGGACCGAACCGACUAAUGUUGAAAAAUUAGCGGAUGACUUGUGGCUGGGGGUGAAAGGCCAAUCAAACCGGGAGAUAGCUGGUUCUCCCCGAAAGCUAUUUAGGUAGCGCCUCGUGAAUUCAUCUCCGGGGGUAGAGCACUGUUUCGGCAAGGGGGUCAUCCCGACUUACCAACCCGAUGCAAACUGCGAAUACCGGAGAAUGUUAUCACGGGAGACACACGGCGGGUGCUAACGUCCGUCGUGAAGAGGGAAACAACCCAGACCGCCAGCUAAGGUCCCAAAGUCAUGGUUAAGUGGGAAACGAUGUGGGAAGGCCCAGACAGCCAGGAUGUUGGCUUAGAAGCAGCCAUCAUUUAAAGAAAGCGUAAUAGCUCACUGGUCGAGUCGGCCUGCGCGGAAGAUGUAACGGGGCUAAACCAUGCACCGAAGCUGCGGCAGCGACACUAUGUGUUGUUGGGUAGGGGAGCGUUCUGUAAGCCUGUGAAGGUGGCCUGUGAGGGUUGCUGGAGGUAUCAGAAGUGCGAAUGCUGACAUAAGUAACGAUAAAGCGGGUGAAAAGCCCGCUCGCCGGAAGACCAAGGGUUCCUGUCCAACGUUAAUCGGGGCAGGGUGAGUCGACCCCUAAGGCGAGGCCGAAAGGCGUAGUCGAUGGGAAACAGGUUAAUAUUCCUGUACUUGGUGUUACUGCGAAGGGGGGACGGAGAAGGCUAUGUUGGCCGGGCGACGGUUGUCCCGGUUUAAGCGUGUAGGCUGGUUUUCCAGGCAAAUCCGGAAAAUCAAGGCUGAGGCGUGAUGACGAGGCACUACGGUGCUGAAGCGACAAAUGCCCUGCUUCCAGGAAAAGCCUCUAAGCAUCAGGUAACAUCAAAUCGUACCCCAAACCGACACAGGUGGUCAGGUAGAGAAUACCAAGGCGCUUGAGAGAACUCGGGUGAAGGAACUAGGCAAAAUGGUGCCGUAACUUCGGGAGAAGGCACGCUGAUAUGUAGGUGAAGCGACUUGCUCGUGGAGCUGAAAUCAGUCGAAGAUACCAGCUGGCUGCAACUGUUUAUUAAAAACACAGCACUGUGCAAACACGAAAGUGGACGUAUACGGUGUGACGCCUGCCCGGUGCCGGAAGGUUAAUUGAUGGGGUUAGCGGUAACGCGAAGCUCUUGAUCGAAGCCCCGGUAAACGGCGGCCGUAACUAUAACGGUCCUAAGGUAGCGAAAUUCCUUGUCGGGUAAGUUCCGACCUGCACGAAUGGCGUAAUGAUGGCCAGGCUGUCUCCACCCGAGACUCAGUGAAAUUGAACUCGCUGUGAAGAUGCAGUGUACCCGCGGCAAGACGGAAAGACCCCGUGAACCUUUACUAUAGCUUGACACUGAACAUUGAGCCUUGAUGUGUAGGAUAGGUGGGAGGCUUUGAAGUGUGGACGCCAGUCUGCAUGGAGCCGACCUUGAAAUACCACCCUUUAAUGUUUGAUGUUCUAACGUGGGCCCCUUACCGGGGUUGCGGACAGUGUCUGGUGGGUAGUUUGACUGGGGCGGUCUCCUCCUAAAGAGUAACGGAGGAGCACGAAGGUUGGCUAAUCCUGGUCGGACAUCAGGAGGUUAGUGCAAUGGCAUAAGCCAGCUUGACUGCGAGCGUGACGGCGCGAGCAGGUGCGAAAGCAGGUCAUAGUGAUCCGGUGGUUCUGAAUGGAAGGGCCAUCGCUCAACGGAUAAAAGGUACUCCGGGGAUAACAGGCUGAUACCGCCCAAGAGUUCAUAUCGACGGCGGUGUUUGGCACCUCGAUGUCGGCUCAUCACAUCCUGGGGCUGAAGUAGGUCCCAAGGGUAUGGCUGUUCGCCAUUUAAAGUGGUACGCGAGCUGGGUUUAGAACGUCGUGAGACAGUUCGGUCCCUAUCUGCCGUGGGCGCUGGAGAACUGAGGGGGGCUGCUCCUAGUACGAGAGGACCGGAGUGGACGCAUCACUGGUGUUCGGGUUGUCAUGCCAAUGGCACUGCCCGGUAGCUAAAUGCGGAAGAGAUAAGUGCUGAAAGCAUCUAAGCACGAAACUUGCCCCGAGAUGAGUUCUCCCUGACUCCUUGAGAGUCCUGAAGGAACGUUGAAGACGACGACGUUGAUAGGCCGGGUGUGUAAGCGCAGCGAUGCGUUGAGCUAACCGGUACUAAUGAACCGUGAGGCUUAACCUU
rnacentral:rRNA from 1 species